rnacentral:lncRNA from 1 species
UGUCGGCCUUCCCAAGCCAACACAUCCCCGUGUAAAGGAGGUAGAUCCUCUUCAGAUGACUGAGAUUACAGUGGAAGAGGCGAGGACAUCAGAGCCCCCUGCUCCUCCUCCUGCUACUGCUGCACCUCCUCCUCCUCCUGCUGCUGCUACACCUGCUCCUCCUCCUGCUACAUCUGCUCCUCCUCCUGCUGCUGCUGCUACACCUGCUCCUCCUCCUACUGUAACUGGAGCAGUACCGGUAGCUACCAAGGAGGAUGAGGAAGAUGAGAUCAACGAGGAUGAGGAGGAGGAUGAUGAGGAGGAGGAGUUUGAUUUUGAUGCAUAUGAGGAAGCGGAAGCUCUAGGCCGUCUAUGAGCUAGGUUUGCAAAAUUUUUGGGGU